AUGGAAUUAGGAGCAGCUGGAGGCUGCGGGGAGCAGCCCUAUAGGGCCGCCCUCCCUCUGAUUCAUUCACUGCGGUUUGGUGUUCCUCGGGGACCCCCGGGGGGGGGCAUGGAGCUGGGGCCGCUUCGCCACCGGGUUCUGGGGAUGCCCCAAAAGACCCUUUCCACCCAUCCCAAUGUCUUCAUUAUGGGGCUGAGGAGGGGGACACCCCGCUUUGAUCACGGUUCCCGCACCCCACAUUGGUGUCGCCAGGUUUGGGGUGCGCCUGGGACGAGCCCCUGGUGCAGGAGCCGGCCCUGCACCCAUGGGUGCUCCCCGGCCGGUGCGGCCCCGUGCGCCAGCAGCCGCCUCCUGCUGAGCCCCCCUAAAUCCCUGCGCUGCAAGGAGCUGGGGAAAGUCCCUGUGGGGUCAGCACCAGAGCCCUACAGCCGCUGGCACCACCGGGGCUGCCCUGACCCCAUAAGCGGCCGAGCGUCGCCUGCUUCUUUGCAGCAUCUCCAAAAACGCGUGCGUCCCCCAGCACCGGUGCCGUGGUGGUCGUGUGGGGGCCAAAAUGGAGCUGGGAGGGGGGAAAUAUGGGAUGGGGGUCCCCAAAACCGCACCCUGCACCCAUUCCUACAAAGGUGCCAUCCUGGGAUCCCGCUGUCCCACCCGCCGUGGGGGCUUUUGGGGCGCUGGUGCCAGGAGACGGCCCCUACCCACGGGGGGCAGGGGACCAUCAGUGGGGUCCUAACCCCAAACUGCGGCCCUAAACCCCAAAGAGCCUUUUGGGGUGCCCUGGGCUCGGCGGCCACGGUGCCCCCAGGGCCGGGUAUGGGGUCAGGAGCCGGGCCGGGGACCUCGGCCACUCGACGGGUGCGGGAGCGAGCCCUGGCCGCCGGCCCGGGAGGGGAGACUUUGGCUUCCUGGACUUUGUUUGGAGAACAAACUCUCCUAAAUAACAGCAGGAUCCAGACAUCCCGGAUCCCAGCGCCAGCGCGCUUCCGUGCCAAGGGACCCGAGCGAGGCGCAGGGAGAGGAUUUUGGGGCCGAAACCCCCUCCUUUUAUGGGGUCGGGGAUCUUGGAGACGCGCAGGGGGUCCCGGUGGGCGUCGGAGACCCCCGGGAGCGGGUGGGUGGCAGCAGCUUGGCCCCCCCCUCCCCGCCCCCCCGGGGGGAUCGUCGGCAUCGAUCCGGAGGAGCGGGGACCGGAGGGGACCCCAUUAA
rnacentral:lncRNA from 1 species